rnacentral:rRNA from 1 species
UACGGAGGAUGCAAGCGUUAUCCGGAAUGAUUGGGCGUAAAGCGUCCGCAGGUGGCACUUCAAGUCGGCUGUCAAAUCUCCCAGCUUAACUGGGUAUAGGCAGUGGAAACUGGAGAGCUAGAGCAAUAGGGGUAGAGGGAAUUCCCGGUGUAGCGGUGAAAUGCGUAGAGAUCGGGAAGAACACCAGUGGCGAGAGCGCUCUACUAGGUUGCAUCUGACACUGAGGGACGAAAGCUAGGGGAGCGAAUGGG